rnacentral:misc_RNA from 1 species
AACGCAUAUUGCGCCCUCUGGUAUUCCGGGGGGCAUGCCUGUUCGAGCGUCAUUAAAUACCUUCAAGCUUGCUUUGGUAUUGGGCUUCGUCACUGAUGGGCCUGAAAAUUAGUGGUGAUGGCUCUUGGUUUUCAAGCGUAGUAAAAAUUGUCUUGAUUAAAGGGAGCGUUACCAAAACCUGUUGUAGGUUGACCUUUGACCUAGUUGACCUCGGAUCAGGUAGGAUUACCCGCUGAACUUAA